CCUACGGGUGGCAGCAGUGAGGAAUAUUGGUCAAUGGACGAGAGUCUGAACCAGCCAAGUAGCGUGAAGGAUGACUGCCCUAUGGGUUGUAAACUUCUUUUAUAUGGGAAUAAAAUGUUCCACGUGUGGGAUUUUGUAUGUACCAUAUGAAUAAGGAUCGGCUAACUCCGUGCCAGCAGCCGCGGUAAUACGGAGGAUCCGAGCGUUAUCCGGAUUUAUUGGGUUUAAAGGGAGCGUAGGUGGAUUGUUAAGUCAGUUGUGAAAGUUUGCGGCUCAACCGUAAAAUUGCAGUUGAGACUGGCAGUCGUGAGUACAGUAGAGGUGGGCGGAAUUCGUGGUGUAGCGGUGAAAUGCUUAGAUAUCACGAAGAACUCCGAUUGAGAAGGCAGCUCACUGGACUGCAACUGACACUGAGGCUCGAAAGUGUGGGUAUCAAACAGGAUUAGAUAACCGAGUAGUC
rnacentral:rRNA from 1 species